GCUAGAGUCUUGUCUUGCAUCCUGGGAUGUAAAUUAAAGAUCACAUAAUCAUUUAAAACAUAUAUAUAUAUAAUAUUUUAAAGCAAACAAAGAACAAAGCAAUUAUCCACACUCCAAGCAGCACAACUAUGCACACACAUUCAUCUAACUGCAAGAUAGUGGAGUGUUUUUUAAGGCAAGUGACUAAUGAGUUGGCAAAUUAUGACCAUGUAAAGGACUUGAUCUAUUGAUGCUUUUGGUCAAAAUUUAAGUAGUCUUGUGCAUAUAAUGGUACUUCCAAACCAAAUUAAAUGAACACCAAGUAUAGCAUUGGCCUACAAAAAUUAAAACGACUACAGCAAUUCCAGUAACCAUAGCAUGGUUAUCCUAACAGGCAUCCAACUCAGGACUUCUGCCAUGAGCCCUACAAUAACUCAAGCGUUAUUUGGAUGGGAUCCAAAAAGACCAUGUCUUCUGUAUUAUCACUUGGCCUAACAUGGCCAAGAGUUGAAAUAACAUGACAUGGCUAGUUUUGAUUACACCAAGAAGUAGUGUACGAAGCAUCAACAUCUUGCACCAAAAGCAGUAAAUGUAUCACCACAACUACCUUCUUGCUUGUUUAUGUGUUUUCUGAAGAUUCAGUCUGCUAAUUGUUAUCCCCAAGACCCCAAACCCAACCAAAGCAUAAGUGAGUUCAACCAGGAGCAUCUUAUGGCUAACAUUAACCAAGUAACUUCAGCUGGAAUUUAUGAACAAAAUUAAAGGACUUGUGAACAGCCGUUUCGAGAUAAGUAUCUAUAGGUGGAAAUUAAAGAAAAAAACCUACUUACUCCAGAAUGCAUCCAUAGGUAGAAGGCCACAAUAGGUUGAUUUCUUGAGAUCUUAGGUUUAGACUAGUUUACUGAGAUGCCAUUACCAUGUUCAAAAACCAUGAUACCAUGUUCAAAAAACAUCAAAGGUGCGGAAUGUUAUCAUAAAAUGUUCAAAAAUAAAAUGCAGUGAUACCUUUUUAAGAACUUG
rnacentral:misc_RNA from 1 species